rnacentral:rRNA from 1 species
GACGAACGCUGGCGGCGUGCUUAACACAUGCAAGUCGAGCGGUAAGGCCUUUCGGGGUACACGAGCGGCGAACGGGUGAGUAACACGUGGGUGAUCUGCCCUGCACUUCGGGAUAAGCCUGGGAAACUGGGUCUAAUACCGGAUAUGACCUCCUAUCGCAUGGUGGGUGGUGGAAAGAUUUAUCGGUGCAGGAUGGGCCCGCGGCCUAUCAGCUUGUUGGUGGGGUAAUGGCCUACCAAGGCGACGACGGGUAGCCGACCUGAGAGGGUGACCGGCCACACUGGGACUGAGACACGGCCCAGACUCCUACGGGAGGCAGCAGUGGGGAAUAUUGCACAAUGGGCGAACGCCUGAUGCAGCGACGCCGCGUGAGGGAUGACGGCCUUCGGGUUGUAAACCUCUUUCAGCAGGGACGAAGCGCAAGUGACGGUACCUGCAGAAGAAGCACCGGCUAACUACGUG